UACAUGUGGGGCGAGCGUUGUUCGGAAUUACUGGGCAUAAAGGGUGCGUAGGCGGCUUGUUAAGUCAGGGGUGAAAGUUUUCGGCCCAACCGGAAAAUGGCCUUUGAUACUGGCGAGCUGGAGUGCGUGAGGGGUGACCGGAACGAGUGGUGUAGCGGUGAAAUGCGUAGAGAUCACUCGGAAGGCCAAAGGCGAAGGCAGGUCACUGGUGCGCAACUGACGCUGAGGCACGAAAGCGUGGGGAGCAAACAGG
rnacentral:rRNA from 1 species